ensembl:snRNA U2 U2 spliceosomal RNA
AUUGCUUCUCGGCCUCUUGGCUAAGAUCAAGUGUAGAAAAAGAAUACACAGCAUCAAUAAAACCAAAAGUUGAUUCUUUGACAAUAUAAAAUAUUUUUUCUUGACAAGUCUUUUUUUUUGGUACCGGGGAUCAAACUCGGGUGUCACUAAGCUAAAUCCCCGGCCCAUU